GCAAGUUGAGCGUGAAAUUUAUAAUGAACUUUCGUGAUUUAUAAAUGGAAAGCAGCGGACGGGUGAGUAACGCGUGGAUAACCUGCCCUAUACUCUAGGAUAACAUACCGAAAGGUAUGCUAAUACUGGAUAAUAUACAUAAGUCGCAUGGCUUUUGUAUCAAAGAUUACGGUAUAGGAUGGAUCCGCGUUCCAUUAGUUAGUUGGUGGGGUAAUGGCCUACCAAGGCGACGAUGGAUAGCCGACCUGAGAGGGUGAUC
rnacentral:rRNA from 1 species